UGAGUGUAAAGUGUGAGUUUGUGAUAAGUGAAAAGUAUUAAUACCCAAAUAGGUGCAUGCAAAAUGACAGUGUUAGAGAAGUUUAGAAGUUAUGAAAUUAAUGAUGCACGUUAUCCAAGUUUACACGCUUAGGGGAGAAAUUAUUACAGCCUAUGAUGGAGGUCUAAUCCCCAAAUCAGCAUACUGCUCGAGGAGAUUUCAAGGGUUUGUC
rnacentral:lncRNA from 1 species